rnacentral:rRNA from 1 species
GGAUGAAGGGAGCUUGCUCCUGGAUUCAGCGGCGGACGGGUGAGUAAUGCCUAGAAUCUGCUGGUAUGGGGGAUAACGUCCGGAAACGGGCGCUAAUACCGCAUACGUCCUGAGGGAGAAAGUGGGGGAUCUUCGGACCUCACGCUAUCAGAUGAGCCUAGGUCGGAUUAGCUAGUUGGUGGGGUAAAGGCCUACCAAGGCGACGAUCCGUAACUGGUCUGAGAGGAUGAUCAGUCACACUGGAACUGAGACACGGUCCAGACUCCUACGGGAGGCAGCAGUGGGGAAUAUUGGACAAUGGGCGAAAGCCUGAUCCAGCCAUGCCGCGUGUGUGAAGAAGGUCUUCGGAUUGUAAAGCACUUUAAGUUGGGAGGAAGGGCAGUAAGUUAAUACCUUGCUGUCUUGACGUUACCAACAGAAUAAGCACCGGCUAACUUCGUGCCAGCAGCCGCGGUAAUACGAAGGGUGCAAGCGUUAAUCGGAAUUACUGGGCGUAAAGCGCGCGUAGGUGGUUCAGCAAGUUGGAUGUGAAAUCCCCGGGCUCAACCUGGGAACUGCAUCCAAAACUACUGAGCUAGAGUACGGUAGAGGGUGGUGGAAUUUCCUGUGUAGCGGUGA